UACGAAGGGGGCUAGCGUUGUCCGGAAUUAUUGGGCGUAAAGAGCUCGUAGGCGGUCUGUCGCGUCGGAUGUGAAAAUCCAGGGCUUAACCCUGGACCUGCAUUCGAUACGGGCAGACUAGAGUUCGGUAGGGGAGACUGGAAUUCCUGGUGUAGCGGUGAAAUGCGCAGAUAUCAGGAGGAACACCGGUGGCGAAGGCGGAUCUCUGGGCCUUACCUGACGCUCAGGCGCGAAAGCUAGGGGAGCGAACAGG
rnacentral:rRNA from 1 species